CCUACGGGAGGCAGCAGUGAGGAAUAUUGGUCAAUGGGCGGGAGCCUGAACCAGCCAAGCCGCGUGAGGGAAGAAGGUACAGCGUAUCGUAAACCUCUUUUUUCAGGGAACAAAGGCGGGGACUAGUCCCCGUAUGAGUGUACCUGAAUAAAAAGCAUCGGCGAACUCCGUGCCAGCAGCCGCGGUAAUACGGAGGAUGCGAGCGUUAUCCGGAUUUAUUGGGGUUGAAGGGUGCGCAGGCGGCCUGUUAAGUCAGCGGUAAAAGGCCGGGGCUCAACCCCGGCGAGCCGUUGAAACUGGCGGGCUGGAGUUGGAGAGAAGUACGCGGAAUGCGAGGUGUAGCGGUGAAAUGCUUAGAUAUCGCGAAGAACCCCGAUUGCGAAGGCAGCGUACCGGCUCCAAACAGACGCUGAGGCACGAAAGCGUGGGUAUCGAACAGGAUUAGAUACCCCUGUAGUC
rnacentral:rRNA from 1 species